rnacentral:rRNA from 1 species
UACGUAGGGGGCAAGCGUUGUCCGGAAUCAUUGGGCGUAAAGAGCGUGUAGGCGGUCCUGUAAGUCCGCUGUGAAAGUCAAGGGCUCAACCCUUGAAUGCCGGUGGAUACUGCAGGACUAGAGUCCGGAAGAGGCGAGUGGAAUUCCUGGUGUAGCGGUGAAAUGCGCAGAUAUCAGGAGGAACACCAAUGGCGAAGGCAGCUCGCUGGGACGGUACUGACGCUGAGGCGCAAAAGCGUGGGAGCGAACGAGG